GCCCUACGCCACCAGGCGGGGACCCGGACCCUGGGGCGGAGCAGGCUGGAGGGCCUGGCCCUGCAACGCAGUGCAGGGUCCCGGACCUCCUACUCUGAGGCUGGGGAAUGGCUGUCUACUGGGGCACUUGAGGGAUAAUGGGAGCUGGGAGUCCCUGUUCGGCGACCUCACCUGGCUGUAAACUCACCUUCUUGUGCGCGCAGGCCGCCGCUCCUGCGGCUCCAGGCAGCCAAGCCCAAUGAUGGGCGGAGGAGGGAAGGAGGAAGGAAGGGAAGUUUUCCCAGCCUCUCAGCUCACGCUUUCGGUCAGCUUCCCACUCUCUGGUGUCCCGGACGCCCUCCGGAUCGCCACUUCGAGCCCUAGUCUAGCUCGGGAGUGUUCCCGUAAGGGGCGCGUUCCCAGCUUGGCAGAAAACUUUCCAGCGAAUCACAGGCUGACUUCUCCCUCCGCCUGGAGCCGGGGAGGGUGAUCUGAACUGAGUGGCGCCUCACCUGGCUGGAAGUUUGCCUGGGAACCCCACGACUCCAGGCACAGAUCUAUGUGCCCUGCCAGCUCUGAAUCUCGACCUGGGUGGCUUCGUGGGUGCGCAGCCAGCUCUUUGAAGUUCAAGGCUUGAGAAGUCCCUGGGCAGCCGGGUGUCAGAGGAUUCGGCUGGGGUUAAAAGGCGCCUCCUACUGGAGCUGCCUGCCUCCUUAUCCCACCACGCUGCUACCUCACCAGGACCGGAGGGGAGGCCUCAAAAAUGAGAAGAUUCUAUUCUUGGAUCUGCCAGCACUGGGGCUGUCUCUGCAGCCCUGGCUCGGAAUACCCACACCUAGAAUUUCCAAGAGCUGGCAGGAUAAUGGGCGCCCAAAGCUGUUCACAUCUCAAGUCUCCGGAACCCAGGACCUUAGGUGGUAGACUGCAGCCCUGCAGCAGUUCCUGGCAAUUUGUUACAGUAGCCACGGGGAAUGGAUACAUCUAGCCUCUCAGCUGUAUAGGCCAAUGCUGAUUUCACCAGCCCUUCUGCUGACAGUCCACUGGAAAGCUCUUCUCUCAAGAGACACCAGGAUAUAGCUUGAUUCACGGAUUUAGAAAGAGGAUAAGAUUUCAUCAGAUCUGUCUUUAUUGUUUUUUUUUUUUUUUUUUUUUUUUGGCUUCUCUGCCAUUUUGAACUGUGUGACCUUGGGAAAAUGUCUUAUUCUCUCUGGGCCUCAGUUUCUUUCUUUAAAUGUAAAAACAGUGAUGCUGGCUAGGUACACAGGAGGCAGAUGCCUAUGGCCCCAGAUACUUCAGAUGCUGAGGCAGGAGGAUGGCACAUUUGAGGUCACCUUGGCAACCUUCUUUUGUUAUCAGUGAGUGUCGAAACGUGGGCCUCAUGUAUGGGAACUGAGUACUUUUCCAUUACACUGCAUCUCCAGACCUAGCUUGAGUAACUUAAUGAAACUCUCUCCAAAAACAACAAACUAAUUAAGUUAAAUAAGUCUUAAAAUAGGGUCUGAAGAUGUAGCUCAGUGGUAGAGUGUUUGCCCUACCUGCGUUUCUUCCCAGCAGGGCAUAAGCCUCAGUGGGGUGGCACACUCUUGAAAUCCUAGCACUAAGGAGGUGGAGGCAGGAGGAUCAGAACUGCAAGUCAUCCUUGUGUAUACAGCUAAAUUUGAGGCCAGCCUGGGCUACGUGUAAUACCCUGUCUCGUAUUGACGAUUACAAUAAUGAAAUGCGUAGCCUACGUGUGGCCCCGGGUCCCAUCCUCAGCACAUCGAGAAGAAGACAGAAUAAAAAUAGUGAUGCUAAGAAUACUCUCCUUUGCAGGAUCAAUAUGAGUAUCAGAGGCAGCAGCAGGAUGCGAUGCUCUGUGUGAGCCCCCAUGACAUCUGAACUGCAGUUGCUGAGACCUGAACUGCCCACUCGGGAACACAGGACUCUUUAGAGCGGGCUUGUCUGAUGGACCAUUCUUGAACUCUGGACACGUGAUGCUUGAAAAUGAGUGUCUAGCGGGGCUUGGUGAUGCACGCAGGUAACCCCAGUGCCUUUGGGAACUGAGGCAGGGGGAUCAGAAGAUCAGGGUCACCCUUUUUGAGGAUAACUUUGUUUGGUACACACACCAAAAAUCAAAAACUAAAAAACAAAAAACAAAACAAAAAAAAAAAAACCCAACCCCCAAAACCUCACU
ensembl:antisense Tmem51os1 Tmem51 opposite strand 1